AAAAUAUUUGACCAAUUGAACAUUAAAUAAAUACAUAAAUAUAUAGAAAACCCUGAGGAGGUUUAUGUAAUCUUUUAACUACAAGAUUCUUAGCCAUCUCCUGAACCAAUUUGGUGACUUUUCUCCUUGCUCUUCUAUUUUUCUUUAGUCUUUGCUUCCUCUCCAAUGUUAAAGCACCACUCAUAGUGAAUCCCUGAGUUUCUGAGAUUGUGAUUUUCCAUGAAUGAGGCUAAAAAUAGUAGUGGAAAAGAUGAUGUACGGUAGUGGAGUGUGCGGUGAUGAUCUGUUUUGGUGAUGAUUUUAGAAGUUAGAUGGAGUGUAAUUAAGGCAGGAGAGUAAGAAUUGGGAGGUCGUGAGGUUGAAGAAGCACAGAAAGGUGUAUAAAAUGGCUUCCAACAGUUGGAUAAAGGAAACAAGUCUGCCAAGAAAAAUAUCUGAUGAAUCAUCAGUUGGCUUUGUUGCAUUGGACGGAGAGCUGCAUGUGAUGAGUCAUUUAAAUGGGGUAAAAUCAAACGAGUGUCAAAGAUUAAGGCAGCAGAAAAGGUCAGCAACUAUUCUUCUACAAAUAUAUCAUCCUAGGAAGAAGUCAUGGAGGUCUGUCACGACAAAGCCACCUUUUCAUCACCCUUUGGAUUUCAAAACUGCGGUUAUGUGCACCAUUCGUCUGUAGAUCUAUAUUGUUUCGUCGGUGUGCCUAUGAAGCAGUUGUUUGGUUUAAUAUAUUCUCCCUCCUACCUAUUGUGAAUGGCAUUGUAUAUCUUUCAUUGACAUGUUCUUAUUGUCAGAAUUACUGCUGUAAAAAGGAACUGUAAUAAAUGUAAUUCCUUUUA